UACAGAGGCCUCGAGCGUUAGGCGGAAUCACUGGGCUUAAAGCGUGUGUAGGCGGACUUCUAAGUACCUUGUGAAAUCCCACGGCUCACCCGUGGAACUGCUCGGUAUACUGGUCGUCUUGAGCCUUCUAGGGCGAGUGGAACAAAUGGUGGAGCGGUGAAAUGCGUAGAUAUCAUUGGAACGCCAAUGGUGAAAACAACUCGCUGGGGAAGUGCUGACGCUGAGACACGAAAGCCAGGGGAGCGAACGGG
rnacentral:rRNA from 1 species